rnacentral:misc_RNA from 1 species
AUAAAUUUAAAAAAGGUGAUGCGAUUGCUUCAUUAUAUUAAAAGCUUAGCAAUGAACAGUUUAUUUUUAAAGGAUCAUUGAAUCUAUGAUGAAAUUAAUAAAAAUGUAAGUUAUAUUUUAUAACAUUGAAUUGAUAAUUUUUGAAAUUUAUUUUAGAAUUGAAUUCUCUCUUCCAUUAGUCUUCUUUAAAUCGUUUAUGUUAUUUUCCUUAACAGCAAAGGUUUUCAAUAUGUAUGACCUAUCUACUCGCUAUAAUGCCUUAACUAUAAACUAAUACCUGUACCAGUAAACUACUAUAAUCGAAAGGUCCUUGUUAUCCCACGUGUCAAUAAUCUGCAUACCCAACUAUGUCAUUUGGUACAAUCUAGCGACAGGUGAAUUUCCUUGCCGCAAUCUCGAUUCAAAACGUUAACCACCCGCUUCUGGAAACGUGUACACAACUAAACGCCGCAAUGUAACGGAGUCCCCGACUACCCCAGUGGAUUGAUGAAAUCAAACCCAAAUCGAAGGAGCCGUCAAGUUUAACCGGCGUUAAGCCGCGACCCUAUAAAUAUAUGUACUCAUUCGUCUGCCUCUUUCCUCAUUCGUUUGCCUCUUUCCACCUGGACAAUUACGGAUCCAAGCCUAUAGCUUCGACUACCGAACCUAUCAACGUCCAAGAUCGAUUUUGUGAUCUCAACGGUCACGAUUCACUCUGCUACGAAACCGCCCCUUAGUUUGCUUGGGCCAGGGAUGUACAGAAAGAAGAGUGUGUCAUAGCCAAAGAAAGAAAGGAGAUUCGCUAGAAGUAUAGCUCAUUUUCCGCUUCGAACACUGUGUUAGGGUUUUUAGGGUUUGGCUUUUGUGCUCUGAGGAGAUGGCGGACCAUCAGAAGGAGGAAUCGGUGGGGGAGUCGUUGAUGGAUAAGAUAUCGGAGAAAAUUCACAGUCACGAUUCGUCGUCGUCAUCUGAUUCCGAUAACGACGAGAAAUCAAAGUCGCCUCCAUCAUCCAUCAAAUCGAAGAUUCAUCGCAUCUUUGGCCGUGAAAAGCCCGUCCACAAGGUCCUUGGUGGCGGCAAACGUAUGUUUCAUUCCUCAACCUUGUGAAUUGUCUGCAUAUUGUUUUUCCUAUUUAGCAUUGUUUCCUUGUGCUUGGUUCCUCAGAAAUGUGUCAAUAAGGGUAGUUGAAAUUGAUCCUCAUCUCUCUCUCUUUGUAGUUUUUUUUUUUCGUGAAUAUUCUUGUGGUUAUUGAAGAUCUAGAUCUGGCUCUGCCUUUUAGUAGAUCUGGUUCUGUCAUUUUGAUCAAUCGAUGCGUAUAUGGGCCUAAAAGACAGGAAUUUUACUUCUUGUAAUCUCACCAGUAUUCUUCUUCCUUUUUAAGCAGAUUUAAGCUAAAUAAUUAUAUGGGAAGCUUAUUGAGUGUUUUAGUUUUUCAUUUGCCAAAAAGUUUACCUGCACGAUUGAUGCUAAUUUAAUUUGAGGUUUGCUAUUUUUUAGAAAUAGUUCAUUGGAUAUUGCGACUCCCCCAUCAAAUGUCCUGUUACCGUACUGCAUAUAAAUUGUUGAUAAUUCUUAUGUAUUUUUUCUGACUAUCUACUUAUUUCUAAUUUGUAUAAAUUUGUAUGUAUGACAUAGCUGCUGACAUUUUCCUCUGGAGGAAUAAGAAGAUUUCAGGAGGAAUUCUUGGUGGUGCAACUGCUGUUUGGGUCUUGUUUGAAUUGAUCGAGUAUCAUCUUCUCACUUUGGUUUGCCAUGGCUUGAUACUUGCUCUUGCAAUACUGUUCUUGUGGUCGAAUGCCUCCACCUUCAUCAACAAGAGCCCACCACGUAUUCCAGAAGUCCAUAUCCCUGAGGAGCCUGUUCUUCAGGUAGCUGCUGCACUUAGGAUUGAAAUCAAUCAGGCUUUCUCUGUCCUUCGGGAUAUUGCAUCAGGAAGGGAUCUGAAGAAGUUUCUCUCUGUAAGUUGUUUCCCUUUAUAAUUUCAUUCUAUUACCUUGCUGGACAAUUGUUAUUAAAGUUGACAAUGCAUCUUAAUUAAUUUAAUUUGUAAAAGAAAAAGCUCGUUAUUGGCAUAUUGGUUGAUAUUUAACAGUACAUUUUCCUUCAUCUGAAUUGUUGCAUUUUGUAAUUGAGUUGCAUUUUAGUGAUGUUCUCAGAACUGUCUUAUUGAUCUUCUGGGCAUUAUGAGCCCUUCAUAUUGCAUACUAAUGAAUAUUUGAACUGCUGGCCGUGAUCCUAAGUGAGUGUUGUGUGUGUAUUGUGUUAACAAUGAAUUUCAAUGGUAUUGUGUUUGAACAGGUUAUAGCAGGCAUAUGGGUCUUGUCUAUUGUGGGGAGUUGGUGCAAUUUCCUGACCCUGUUCUAUAUCGGUGGGAAGCCACUACUGUAGCUAUAAUUUUUAUUUUGGCAAAUAUUUUUUUUUAAUUCAAAUUUUGCUAUUCUCUUAAUACGAAAAUUUGUGGUUUUGCAAGCAGUUUUCGUACUGUUGCACACAGUGCCUGUUCUCUAUGAGAAGUACGAGGACAAGGUAGAUUCAUUUGCUGAGAAGGCAAUGAUUGAAAUCAAGAAGCAGUAUGCUGUCCUUGAUGCAAAGGUUUUAAGUAGGAUUCCAAGGGGGCCAUUGAAGGACAAGAAGAAGGCUUAGAGGAAUUUUUAUACCCUGGUGUUAGGUUUGACACAAUCAGUACCUGUGUUUUAUGACACUACCCAGUAUUGUAGAAACCUGUUCUUUUGAUUUUAGAUUUUGGGUUCACGGUGUGGAUGAAUAUGGAAUUCUUAUGCUCGCAUAUCUUCAGUUACUUAUGGUUUAUUAAUUAGGAAUGGCACUUCGCGUUUACCUUAGCAUUGGUGUUGUCUCAGGAGAUCGCAUCAUAAAUGCUAGUAACUUUAUGAACAGACUUUUGAGAUGCGAGAUUCAUGUUUUUUUGUGAGAUUUGGUUUCAUAACAAGGUGAAGAUGGCUAUUGAACUUUGUUAAUUAAAAAUAUGAAUCUUGGAGGAGGAUUUCAUGAGGUCCCUAUUUUCUUUAUUGUUUCUGAUCCAGAGCAACUAGUCACUGAAAUGUUACCAAAACUCUCUAUAAUAAGAAAGGCAUCGAAGACUGCGUUAUUGCACGAGUUGCUAGCGUAAUUUUCAUA